rnacentral:rRNA from 1 species
GACGAACGCUGGCGGCGUGCUUAACACAUGCAAGUCGAGCGGAAAGGCUCCUUCGGGGGUACUCGAGCGGCGAACGGGUGAGUAACACGUGAGUAAUCUGCCCUGGACUCUGGGAUAGCCACCGGAAACGGUGAUUAAUACCGGAUAUGACCACUUUAGGCACCUGAGGUGGUGGAAAGUUUUUCGGUCCAGGAUGUGCUCGCGGCCUAUCAGCUUGUUGGUGAGGUAAUGGCUCACCAAGGCUUUGACGGGUAGCCGGCCUGAGAGGGUGACCGGUCACACUGGGACUGAGACACGGCCCAGACUCCUACGGGAGGCAGCAGUGGGGAAUAUUGGACAAUGGGCGGAAGCCUGAUCCAGCAACGCCGCGUGAGGGAUGACGGCCUUCGGGUUGUAAACCUCUUUCAGUACCGACGAAGCGAAAGUGACGGUAGGUACAGAAGAAGGACCGGCCAACUACGUGCCAGCCGCCGCCGUAACAC